rnacentral:rRNA from 1 species
AUGGAUGAGGAGUACGACGUGAUCGUGCUGGGGACGGGGCUCAAGGAGUGCAUCCUCAGUGGCAUCCUCUCUGUCGAUGGCCUCAAGGUUCUUCACAUGGACAGGAAUGACUACUACGGUGGAGAAUCUACAUCCCUGAAUCUGGCCAAGAUCUGGAAGAGAUUCAAAGGCAGCGACACCACUCCUGACCAUCUGGGUGUCAGCAAGGAGUACAAUGUCGACAUGGUGCCCAAGUUCAUGAUGGCCAACGGUGCAUUGGUCCGUGUCUUGAUCCGCACGAGCGUGACAAAGUAUCUGAACUUCAAGGCCGUCGAUGGCAGCUUCGUCUACAACAACGGGAAGAUCCACAAAGUCCCUGCGACAGAUGUUGAAGCCUUGAAAUCUAACCUAAUGGGCCUGUUUGAAAAGCGCCGCGCUAGGAAGUUCUUCAUUUAUGUUCAGGACUACGAAGAGGAUGACGCGAAAUCACACGAAGGCCUAGAUCUGCACAAAGUCACGACGAGGGAACUCAUCUCCAAAUAUGGACUGGAGGAUGACACAGUUGACUUUAUUGGUCAUGCAUUGGCACUUCACCGGGAUGACAACUAUCUCGAUGAGCCUGCAAUUGACACUGUCAAGAGAAUGAAGCUUUAUGCGGAAUCAUUGGCGCGCUUCCAAGGUGGAUCACCUUAUAUCUACCCCUUGUAUGGGCUAGGAGAGCUCCCUCAGGCCUUUGCUCGUCUGAGCGCUGUUUAUGGUGGCACAUACAUGCUCAACAAACCAGAAUGCAAGGUUGAGUUCGAUGAGAGUGGUAAAGCAUUUGGUGUGACAUCCGAAGGGGAGACCGCGAAAUGCAAGAAGGUUGUUUGUGAUCCCUCAUACUUGCCUGACAAGGUGAAGAAGGUUGGAAGGGUGGCGCGUGCCAUAUGCAUAAUGAAGCAUCCAAUUCCUGACACCAAAGAUUCUCACUCCGUGCAGAUUAUCCUCCCAAAGAAACAGCUGAAGCGCAAAUCAGACAUGUACGUGUUCUGUUGCUCGUACGCUCACAACGUUGCGCCGAAAGGCAAGUUCGUCGCCUUUGUGUCGACUGAAGCUGAGACCGACAAGCCCGAGAUCGAGCUGAAACCCGGGAUCGACCUGCUCGGCCCAGUGGAGGAGACAUUCUUCGACAUGUACGAUCGAUUCGAGCCUGUUAACGCUGCUGAGGAGGACAACUGCUUCUUGACAACUAGCUACGACGCGACCACGCAUUUUGAGACAACGGUGAAGGAUGUGCUCGCCUUGUACAGCAAGAUCACUGGAAAGGAACUUGAUCUUUCCGUGGAUCUGAAUGCUGCCAGUGCCGGUGAAAACGAUGCCGCUUGA